UACGUAGGGGGCAAGCGUUGUCCGGAUUUAUUGGGCGUAAAGAGCGUGUAGGCGGUUUGGUAGGUCCGCUGUGAAAACUCGAGGCUCAACCUCGAGACGCCGGUGGAAACCAUCAGACUAGAGUCCGGAAGAGGAGAGUGGAAUUCCUGGUGUAGCGGUGAAAUGCGCAGAUAUCAGGAAGAACACCCGUGGCUAAGGCGGCUCUCUAGUACGGUACUGGACGCUGAGACGCGAAAGCGUUGGGGAGCGAACAGG
rnacentral:rRNA from 1 species